rnacentral:piRNA from 1 species
CCUCUCUGUAUGUGUUCCUAGUACUCUUCC